rnacentral:rRNA from 1 species
AGUGAACGCUGGCGGUAGGCUUAACACAUGCAAGUCGAACGGCAGCACAGUACUAGCUUGCUCUGACGGGUGGCGAGUGGCGGACGGGAGAGGAAUACAUCGGGCUCUACUUUUUGGUGGGGGUUAAGGUAGGGAGACUUAAGAUCAUACCGCAUCCGAUCUUGGGGUGAAGGCGGGGGAUCUUCGGACCUUGCGCGGUUGAAUGCGCGGCUGUCGGAUUAGCUAGUUGGCGGGGUACAUGCCCACCCAGGCGACGAUACGUAGCUGGUCUGUGUGAAGGAUCAGCGGCACUAGAACUGAGACACCGUCCAGACUCCUACGGGAGGGAGCAGUGGGGAAUAUUGGACAAUAGGCGCAAGCCUGAUCCAGCCAUCGCGCGUGGGUGAAGAAGGCCUUGGGGUUGUAAAGCCCUUUUGUUGGGAAAGAAAAGCAGCAGGUUAAUACCCCGCUGUUCUGACGGUACCCAAAGAAUAAGCACCGGCUAACUUCGUG